rnacentral:rRNA from 1 species
AAAGGUAAGCUACUAAGAGCGAAUGGUGGAUGCCUUGACUGGUAAAGGCGAUGAAGGACGUACUAGACUGCGAUAAGCUACGGGGAGCUGUCAAGAAGCUUUGAUCCGUAGAUUUCCGAAUGGGGCAACCCAAUGUAUAGAGAUAUACAUUACCUAUAUAGGAGCGAACGAGGGGAAUUGAAACAUCUUAGUACCCUCAGGAAAAGAAAUCAAUAGAGAUUGCGUCAGUAGCGGCGAGCGAAAGCGCAAGAGGGCAAACCCAGUGCUUGCACUGGGGGUUGUAGGACUGCAAUGUGCAAGAGCUGAGUUUAGCAGAACAUUCUGGAAAGUAUAGCCAUAGAGGGUGAUAGUCCCGUAUGCGAAAAACAAAGCUUAGCUAGCAGUAUCCUGAGUAGGGCGGGACACGAGGAAUCCUGUCUGAAUCCGGGUCGAC